rnacentral:rRNA from 1 species
GACGGCCCUAUGGGUUGUAAACUGCUUUUAUACGGGAAGAAACACUCCUUCGUGAAGGAGCUUGACGGUACCGUAAGAAUAAGGAUCGGCUAACUCCGUGCCAGCAGCCGCGGUAAUACGGAGGAUCCAAGCGUUAUCCGGAAUCAUUGGGUUUAAAGGGUCCGUAGGCGGGACAAUAAGUCAGCGGUGAAAGUCUGUGGCUCAACCAUAGAAUUGCCAUUGAUACUGUUGUUCUUGAGUGUUUAUGAAGUGGUUAGAAUAUGUAGUGUAGCGGUGAAAUGCUUAGAUAUUACAUGGAAUACCGAUUGCGAAGGCAGAUCACUAAUAAAAUACUGACGCUGAUGGACGAAAGCGUAGGUAGCGAACAGGAUUAGAUACCCUGGUAG